UGGGGAAUAUUGCACAAUGGGCGAAAGCCUGAUGCAGCGACGCCGCGUGAGGGAUGACGGCCUUCGGGUUGUAAACCUCUUUCAGUAGGGACGAAGCGCAAGUGACGGUACCUGCAGAAGAAGCACCGGCUAACUAAGUGCCAGCAGCCGCGGUAAUACGUAGGGUGCGAGCGUUGUCCGGAAUUACUGGGUGUAAAGAGCUCGUAGGCGGUUUGUCACGUCGUCUGUGAAAUCCUAGGGCUUAACCCUGGACGUGCAGGCGAUACGGGCUGACUUGAGUACUACAGGGGAGACUGGAAUUUCUGGUGUAGCGGUGGAAUGCACAGAUAUCAGGAAGAACACCGAUGGCGAAGGCAGGUCUCUGGGUAGUAACUGACGCUGAGGAGCGAAAGCAUGGGUAGCGAACAGG
rnacentral:rRNA from 1 species